GUGAGGAAUAUUGGGCAAUGGGCGAAAGCCUGACCCAGCCACGCCGCGUGAGUGAUGAAGGCCUUCGGGUUGUAAAGCUCUGUGGGGAGGGAAGAAAAAGCGGGAGAGUAACUGCUCUCGUGUUGACGGUACCUCCUUAGCAAGCACCGGCUAACUCUGUGCCAGCAGCCGCGGUAAUACAGAGGGUGCAAACGUUGCUCGGAAUUACUGGGCGUAAAGCGCGUGUAGGCUGACAUGCAAGUCGGGUGUGAAAUCCCAGGGCUAAACCUUGGAACUGCACUCGAAACUGCACGUCUUGAGUACUGGAGAGGGAAGCGGAAUUCCGGGUGUAGAGGUGAAAUUCGUAGAUAUCCGGAGGAACACCAGUGGCGAAGGCGGCUUCCUGGACAGUAACUGACGCUGAGACGCGAAAGCGUGGGGAGCAAACAGGAUUAGAAACCCGGGUAGUCC
rnacentral:rRNA from 1 species